rnacentral:rRNA from 1 species
UACGUAGGGUGCGAGCGUUGUCCGGAAUUACUGGGCGUAAAGAGCUCGUAGGUGGUUUGUCGCGUUGUUCGUGAAAACCGGGGGCUUAACCCUCGGCGUGCGGGCGAUACGGGCAGACUUGAGUACUGCAGGGGAGACUGGAAUUCCUGGUGUAGCGGUGGAAUGCGCAGAUAUCAGGAGGAACACCGGUGGCGAAGGCGGUGGUCUGGGCCGGAACUGACGCUGAAUAGCGAAAGCGUGGGUAGCGAACAGG